CCUACGGGGGGCUGCAGUGGGGAAUAUUGGACAAUGGGCGAAAGCCUGAUCCAGCCAUGCCGCGUGUGUGAAGAAGGCCUUCGGGUUGUAAAGCACUUUCAGUGGGGAAGAAAGCCUUGGGGCUAAUACCCUCGAGGAAGGACAUCACCCACAGAAGAAGCACCGGCUAACUCCGUGCCAGCAGCCGCGGUAAUACGGAGGGUGCGAGCGUUAAUCGGAAUUACUGGGCGUAAAGCGCGCGUAGGCGGUCUGAUAAGCCGGUUGUGAAAGCCCCGGGCUCAACCUGGGAACGGCAUCCGGAACUGUCAGGCUAGAGUGCAGGAGAGGAAGGUAGAAUUCCCGGUGUAGCGGUGAAAUGCGUAGAGAUCAGGAGGAAUACCAGUGGCGAAGGCGGCCUUCUGGACUGACACUGACGCUGAGGUGCGAAAGCGUGGGUAGCAAACAGGAUUAGAUACCCUUGUAGUC
rnacentral:rRNA from 1 species